GACAGAGGGUGCGAACGUUGCUCGGAAUUACUGGGCGUAAAGCGCGUGCAGGCGGCCCUGCACGUCCGGUGUGAAAGCCCCGGGGCUCAACCCCGGAAGCGCGCUGGAAACGACGGGGCUGGAGGGCUGGAGAGGCGGGCGGAAUUCCCGGUGUAGAGGUGAAAAUUCGUAGAUAUCGGGAGGAACACCGGUGGCGAAGGCGGCCCGCUGGACAGCGCCUGACGCUGAGACGCGAAAGCGUGGGUAGCAAACAGG
rnacentral:rRNA from 1 species